GGCAACCCUGAUCCAGCAAUGCCGCGUGAGUGAAGAAGGCCUUCGGGUUGUAAAGCUCUUUUGUCAGGGAAGAAACACCGGCUCUAACACAGUCCGGGAAUGACGGUAC
rnacentral:rRNA from 1 species